rnacentral:rRNA from 1 species
AUGAACGCUAGCGGCAGGCUUAAUACAUGCAAGUCGAGGGGCAGCAGGACUGUAGCAAUACAGUUGCUGGCGACCGGCAAACGGGUGCGGAACACGUACGCAACCUACCCAAAACUGGGGGAUAGCCCGGGGAAACCCGGAUUAAUACCUCGUAACCUUUUUAAGUGGCAUCACUUGAUAAGUAUAGCUCCGGCGGUUUUGGAUGGGCGUGCGCCUGAUUAGGUAGUUGGUGCGGGUAACGGCCCACCAAGCCUGCGAUCAGUAACUGGUGUGAGAGCACGACCAGUCACACGGGCACUGAGACACGGGCCCGACUCCUACGGGAGGCAGCAGUAAGGAAUAUUGAUCAAUGGACGCAAGUCUGAACCAGCCAUGCCGCGUGAAGGAUGAAGGUCCUCUGGAUUGUAAACUUCUUUUAUGGGGGACGAAACCCGGAUAUUCUUAUCCGAUUGACGGUACCUCAGGAAUAAGCACCGGCUAACUCCGUG